CGGGUCUCCAGCUUCUGGCUUCGAUCUUUUCUAUUGGAGUCGUCAAGCUGAGAAGUUGGUCCCGAACCCAGCAGGGAAAAUAUACAAGAGAGCAUAUGCACAUGUGCUCCGGACCCUAAUCCCACUGCUAUUUCGGCAUCGGUUGAAAAAGGCCAUCAACAAACCCCAAUCUACCGGCUGCCAAAGAUUGCCGUGUCGGCAAGGUCACGCUUAUUUUCUUCGACUACACGGCGAGAAAUCGCUAGGUCGAUUGAGCAGAAAAAAUACAAGAAAAGGAAGCACUGGCUAAACGAGGCAGCAGAGCAGAUUGGUUACGCUAUUCAGCGCCGGCCAAAAAAAGGCGGCCGGA